UUUUAAUGUAAACAAUCAUAUUUCGUAUUAUUUUAGGUCAGAAACAUUUCAUAGUACUAUAUUAUGUCUAAAUAUGUGAAAAAUAUCAUAUUGGAAUAGGUUGGGCUAUUGAUUAUAUGAGUUUGUUAGAAAAACCACUUUCCUUUGCUCCUAGCGCCUUCUGAAGCGCUGUAUAGCGUUUUGAGCGUAUAAAGAGCACAAGUGUGUAUGGGGACACAGGAUAAAUGGGAACUAGUUUUCUUAUUGAACUUUUGAUGAAAAGUGACUUUCUAGAUAUAAAAUGUCACUUUUUUCAACUUAUCACACUUUAACAUCAAGUUGUACAUUUUAAUGUAAACAAUCAUAUUUCGUAUUAUUUUAGGUCAGAAACAUUUCAUAGUACUAUAUUAUGUCUAAAUAUGUGAAAAAUAUCAUAUUGGAAUAGGUUGGGCUAUUGAUUAUAUGAGUUUGUUAGAAAAACCACUUUCCUUUGCUCCUAGCGCCUUCUGAAGCGCUGUAUAGCGUUUUGAGCGUAUAAAGAGCACAAGUGUGUUUGGGGAUACAGGAUAAAUGGGAACUAGUUUUCUUAUUGAACUUUUGAUGAAAAGUGACUUUCUAGCCAUAAAAUGUCACUUUUUUCACCUUAUCACAGUUUAUCAUCAACUUUUACAUUUUAAUGUAAACAAUCAUAUUUCGUAUUAUUUUAGGUCAGAAACAUUUCAUAGUACUAUGUUAUAUCUAAAUAUGUGAAAAAUAUCAUAUUGGAAUAGGUUGGGCAAUUGAUAAUAUGAGUUUGUUAGAAAAACCACUUUCCUUUGCUCCUAGCGCCUUCUGAAGCGCUGUAUAGCGUUUUGAGCGUAUAAAGAGCACAAGUGUGUAUGGGGACACAGUAUUAAUGGGAACUAGUUUUCUUAAUGAACUUUUGAUGAAAAGUGACUUUCUAGACAUAAAAUGUCACUUUUUUCACGUUAUCACACUUCAUCAUCAACUUUUACAUUUUAAUGUAAACAAUCAUAUUUCGUAUUAUUUUAGGUCAGAAACAUUUCAUAGUACUAUAUUAUGUCUAAAUAUGUGAAAAAUAUCAUAUUGGAAUAGGUUGGGCAAUUGAUUAUAUGAGUUUGUUAGAAAAACCACUUUCCUUUGCUCCUAGCGCCUUCUGAAGCGCUGUAUAGCGUUUUGAGCGUAUAAAGAGCACAAGUGUGUAUGGGAACACAGGAUUAAUGGGAACUAGUUUUCUUAAUGAACUUUUGAUGAAAAGUGACUUUCUAGCCAUAAAAUGUCACUUUUUUCACCUUAUCACAGUUUAUCAUCAACUUUUACAUUUUAAUGUAAACAAUCAUAUUUCGUAUUAUUUUAGGUCAGAAACAUUUCAUAGUACUAUGUUAUAUCUAAAUAUGUGAAAAAUAUCAUAUUGGAAUAGGUUGGGCAAUUGAUAAUAUGAGUUUGUUAGAAAAACCACUUUCCUUUGCUCCUAGCGCCUUCUGAAGCGCUGUAUAGCGUUUUGAGCGUAUAAAGAGCACAAGUGUGUAUGGGGACACAGGAUGAAUGGGAACUAGUUUUCUUAUUGAACUUUUGAUGAAAAGUGACUUUCUAGAUAUAAAAUGUCACUUUUUUCAACUUAUCACACUUUAACAUCAAGUUGUACAUUUUAAUGUAAACAAUCAUAUUUCGUAUUAUUUUAGGUCAGAAACAUUUCAUAGUACUAUAUUAUGUCUAAAUAUGUGAAAAAUAUCAUAUUGGAAUAGGUUGGGCUAUUGAUUAUAUGAGUUUGUUAGAAAAACCACUUUCCUUUGCUCCUAGCGCCUUCUGAAGCGCUGUAUAGCGUUUUGAGCGUAUAAAGAGCACAAGUGUGUAUGGGGACACAGGAUUAAUGGGAACUAGUUUUCUUAUUGAACUUUUGAUGAAAAGUGACUUUCUAGACAUAAAAUGUCACUUUUUUGAACUUAUCACACUUUAACAUCAAGUUGUACAUUUUAAUGUAAACAAUCAUAUUUCGUAUUAUUUUAGGUCAGAAACAUUUCAUAGUACUAUAUUAUAUCUAAAUAUGUGGAAAAUAUCAUAUUGGAAUAGGUUGGGCAAUUGAUAAUAUGAGUUUGUUAUAAAAACCACUUUCCUUUGCUCCUAGCGCCUUCUGAAGCGCUGUAUAGCGUUUUGAGCGUAUAAAGAGCACAAGUGUGUAUGGGGACACAGUAUUAAUGGGAACAAGUUUUCUUAAUGAACUUUUGAUGAAAAGUGACUUUCUAGACAUAAAAUGUCACUUUUUUCACGUUAUAACACUUCAUCAUCAACUUUGACAUUUUAAUGUAAACAAUCAUAUUUCGUAUUAUUUUAGGUCAGAAACAUUUCAUAGUACUAUAUUAUGUCUAAAUAUGUGAAAAAUAUCAUAUUGGAAUAGGUUGGGCAAUUGAUUAUAUGAGUUUGUUAGAAAAACCACUUUCCUUUGCUCCUAGCGCCUUCUGAAGCGCUGUAUAGCGUUUUGAGCGUAUAAAGAUCACAAGUGUGUAUGGGGACACAGGAUUAAUGGGAACUAGUUUUCUUAUUGAACUUUUGAUGAAAAGUGACUUUCUAGACAUAAAAUGUCACUUUUUUGAACUUAUCACACUUUAACAUCAAGUUGUACAUUUUAAUGUAAACAAUCAUAUUUCGUAUUAUUUUAGGUCAGAAACAUUUCAUAGUACUAUAUUAUAUCUAAAUAUGUGAAAAAUAUCAUAUUGGAAUAGGUUGGGCAAUUGAUUAUAUGAGUUUGUUAGAAAAAACCACUUUCCUUUGCUCCUAGCGCCUUCUGAAGCGCUGUAUAGUGUUUUGAGCGUAUAAAGCUCACAAGUGUGUAUGGGGAUACAGGAUAAAUGGGAACUAGUUAUCUUAUUGAACUUUUGAUGAAAAGUGACUUUCUAGAUAUAAAAUGUCACUUUUUUCAACUUAUCACACUUUAACAUCAAGUUGUGCAUUUUAAUGUAAACAAUCAUAUUUCGUAUUAUUUUAGGUCAGAAACAUUUCAUAGUACUAUAUUAUGUCUAAAUAUGUGAAAAAUAUCAUAUUGGAAUAGGUUGGGCAAUUGAUUAUAUGAGUUUGUUAGAAAAACCACUUUCCUUUGCUCCUAGCGCCUUCUGAAGCGCUGUAUAGCGUUUUGAGCGUAUAAAGAGCACAAGUGUGUAUGGGGAUACAGGAUAAAUGGGAACUAGUUAUCUUAUUGAACUUUUGAUGAAAAGUGACUUUCUAGAUAUAAAAUGUCACUUUUUUCAACUUAUCACACUUUAACAUCAAGUUGUACAUUUUAAUGUAAACAAUCAUAUUUCGUAUUAUUUUAGGUCAGAAACAUUUCAUAGUACUAUAUUAUAUCUAAAUAUGUGAAAAAUAUCAUAUUGGAAUAGGUUGGGCAAUUGAUUAUAUGAGUUUGUUAGAAAAACCACUUUCCUUUGCUCCUAGCGCCUUCUGAAGCGCUGUAUAGCGUUUUGAGCGUAUAAAGAGCACAAGUGUGUAUGGGGACACAGGAUAAAUGGGAACUAGUUUUCUUAUUGAACUUUUGAUGAAAAGUGACUUUCUAGACAUAAAAUGUCACUUUUUUGAACUUAUCACACUUUAACAUCAAGUUGUACAUUUUAAUGUAAACAAUCAUAUUUCGUAUUAUUUUAGGUCAGAA